GUUGGAUCCAGAGCCUCGCUGAGGGUCAGUAUAUAGAGAUCAGUGACGUGAGGACGGAGGACUUUACAGCUGUGUCGUGUCCAACAUGGCUGGCAGCUCGAGCCUGCAAUUCAACAUACAGAUCCUCAUGCCCUUGUCAUUAGAGACGGCAGCUCAUUGGUCACUGCACAUGUCAAUCAGAAGGUGGUGCUGCCUUGUGAGUUGGAGGGAGACUCCGCCCUAGAGAAAAGAUGGAGUCCCAGUUCUCCUUGGCAACAGGUUUGUUUUGCUGCCGGACGGAUCGAUGCGAAUGGAAAAAGUGCAGCUCAGUGACGCAGGCCGUUAUUCCUCCAGCGUGUCUAACGGGGCGGGGUCAGACCAGCGCAGCGUGGAGCUCAGAGUCUACGGU